rnacentral:rRNA from 1 species
UACGGAGGGUGCAAGCGUUAUCCGGAUUCACUGGGUUAAAGGGUGCGUAGGUGGGUCUGUAAGUCAGUGGUGAAAUCUCCGAGCUUAACUCGGAAACUGCCAUUGAUACUAUAGAUCUUGAAUUUUCUGGAGGUAAGCGGAAUAUGUCAUGUAGCGGUGAAAUGCUUAGAUAUGACAUAGAACACCAAUUGCGAAGGCAGCUUACUACAGGAACAUUGACACUGAGGCACGAAAGCGUGGGGAUCAAACAGG